UACACUCCUACGGGAGGCAGCAGUGGGGAAUUUGGACAAUGGGCGAAAGCCUGAUCCAGCAAUGCCGCGUGUGUGAAGAAGGCCUUCGGGUUGUAAAGCACUUUUGUCCGGAAAGAAAUCCUUGGCUCUAAUACAGUCGGGGGAUGACGGUACCGGAAGAAUAAGCACCGGCUAACUACGUGCCAGCAGCCGCGGUAAUACGUAGGGUGCGAGCGUUAAUCGGAAUUACUGGGCGUAAAGCGUGCGCAGGCGGUUUGCUAAGACCGAUGUGAAAUCCCCGGGCUCAACCUGGGAACUGCAUUGGUGACUGGCAGGCUAGAGUAUGGCAGAGGGGGGUAGAAUUCCACGUGUAGCAGUGAAAUGCGUAGAGAUGUGGAGGAAUACCGAUGGCGAAGGCAGCCCCCUGGGCCAAUACUGACGCUCAUGCACGAAAGCGUGGGGAGCAAACAGGAUUAGAAACCCUAGUAGUCCCA
rnacentral:rRNA from 1 species